rnacentral:rRNA from 1 species
UACGUAGGGGGCAAGCGUUGUCCGGAUUUACUGGGCGUAAAGGGCGUGCAGGCGGUCUGUUAAGUCUAGGGUGAAAGCUCCCGGCUCAACUGGGAGAGGUCCUUGGAUACUGGCGGACUUGAGGGAGGCAGAGGAAAGUGGAAUUCCCGGUGUAGUGGUGAUAUGCGUAGAUAUCGGGAGGAACACCAGUGGCGAAGGCGGCUUUCUGGGCCUUACCUGACGCUGAGACGCGAAAGCGUGGGGAGCGAACCGG